rnacentral:rRNA from 1 species
CCCUACGGGGGGCAGCAGUAGGGAAUAUUGCUCAAUGGGGGAAACCCUGAAGCAGCAACGCCGCGUGGAGGAUGAAGGUUUUCGGAUUGUAGACUCCUUUUGUUAGAGAAGAUAAUGACGGUAUCUAACGAAUAAGCACCGGCUAACUCCGUGCCAGCAGCCGAGGUAAUACGGAGGGUGCAAGCGUUACUCGGAAUCACUGGGCGUAAAGAGCGCGUAGGCGGGAUAGCAAGUCAGAUGCGAAAUCCCCGCGCUCAACGUGGGAACUGCCUUUGAAACUGGCAAAGUGGAGUGUGUGCGAGGAU